CGAUAAAAAAAGACCGAAUACGAUUCCUAUAUUCGGUCCAGGGAAAUGGCUCUUGGGAGAGAGCCGUGCGCUAAAAGUUGGCAUUAAUGCAGGCUAUUUGCCUUGCCUUUUAAGAAUAGAUUACCGCGUCAGCUUUUCCAGUGU
rnacentral:sRNA from 1 species